rnacentral:rRNA from 1 species
UCCGUAGGUGAACCUGCGGAAGGAUCAUUAAAGGUUUCGGGUACCCAGUGCCCAAACUUCAACCCUAUGUUUUAACUAUACAUGUUUCUUUGCCGGUUUCGGCCGGCAGAAGUUUUCUCAAACUCAUUAAUGUGUCUUCUGAAUCAAAAUUAAAUAAAUUAAAACUUUCAACAACGGAUCUCUUGGUUCUGGCAUCGAUGAAGAACGCAGCGAAAUGCGAUACGUAAUGUGAAUUGCAGAAUUCAGUGAAUCAUCGAAUCUUUGAACGCACAUUGCACUCUCUGGUAUUCCGGAGAGUAUGCUUGUUUGAGUAUCUGUAAACAUCUCAACCCUCAAGGCGCUUGCGUCGGGAGGAUUGGACUUGAGCGAUCCCGACUCUUUCUCACGAAAGAGGAGGGUCGCUUGAAAUGCAGGUGCAGCAGGACAUUCUUCUGAGCUAAAAGCAUAUCUAUUUAGUCCCGUCAAACGGAUUAUUACUUUUGCUUCAGCUAACAUAAAGGUCGAAUGCGCCACAAUCGCUGAUUGCAGGAAAACUCGUUCGUAAGAACUUGUAAACUCGAUCUCAAAUCAAGUAAGACUACCCGCUGAACUUAAGCAUAUCAAUAAGCGGAGGA